CCUACGGGUGGCUGCAGUGGGGAAUAUUGGACAAUGGGCGAAAGCCCGAUCCAGCCAUGCCGCGUGUGUGAAGAAGGCCUUCGGGUUGUAAAGCACUUUCAGUGGGGAAGAAAGCCUUGGGGCUAAUACCCUCGAGGAAGGACAUCACCCACAGAAGAAGCACCGGCUAACUCCGUGCCAGCAGCCGCGGUAAUACGGAGGGUGCGAGCGUUAAUCGGAAUUACUGGGCGUAAAGCGCGCGUAGGCGGUCUGAUAAGCCGGUUGUGAAAGCCCCGGGCUCAACCUGGGAACGGCAUCCGGAACUGUCAGGCUAGAGUGCAGGAGAGGAAGGUAGAAUUCCCGGUGUAGCGGUGAAAUGCGUAGAGAUCGGGAGGAAUACCAGUGGCGAAGGCGGCCUUCUGGACUGACACUGACGCUGAGGUGCGAAAGCGUGGGUAGCAAACAGGAUUAGAUACCCCAGUAGUC
rnacentral:rRNA from 1 species